rnacentral:rRNA from 1 species
GACGAACGCUGGCGGCGUGCCUAAUACAUGCAAGUAGAACGCACAGUUUAUACCGUAGCUUGCUACACCAUAGACUGUGAGUUGCGAACGGGUGAGUAACGCGUAGGUAACCUGCCUGGUAGUGGGGGAUAACUAUUGGAAACGAUAGCUAAUACCGCAUAAUAUUAAUUAUUGCAUGAUAAUUAAUUGAAAGGUGCAAUUGCACCACUACCAGAUGGACCUGCGUUGUAUUAGCUAGUAGGUGAGGUAACGGCUCACCUAGGCGACGAUACAUAGCCGACCUGAGAGGGAGAUCGGCCACACUGGGACUGAGACACGGCCCAGACUCCUUCGGGAGGCAGCAGUAGGGAAUCUUCGGCAAUGGACGAAAGUCUGACCGAGCAACGCCGCGGGGGUUAAGAAGGUUUUCGGAUCGUAAAGCUCUGUUGUAAGAGAAGAACGGGUGUGAGAGUGGAAAGUUCACACUGUGACGGUAUCUUACCAGAAAGGGACGGCUAACUACGUG